rnacentral:rRNA from 1 species
GAUGAACGCUGGCGGCGUGCUUAACACAUGCAAGUCGAGCGAAGCACUUAUGAUGAUUCUUCGGAUGAACCAUUUGUGACUGAGCGGCGGACGGGUGAGUAACGCGUGAGUAACCUGCCUCAUACAGGGGAAUAACAGUUAGAAAUGACUGCUAAUGCCGCAUAAGCGCACAGGGCCGCAUGGCCCGGUGUGAAAAACUCCGGUGGUAUGAGAUGGACUCGCGUCUGAUUAGCUAGUUGGCAGGGUAACGGCCUACCAAGGCGACGAUCAGUAGCCGGCCUGAGAGGGUGAACGGCCACAUUGGGACUGAGACACGGCCCAAACUCCUACGGGAGGCAGCAGUGGGGAAUAUUGCACAAUGGGGGAAACCCUGAUGCAGCGACGCCGCGUGAGUGAAGAAGUAUUUCGGUAUGUAAAGCUCUAUCAGCAGGGAAGAAAAUGACGGUACCUGACUAAGAAGCC